rnacentral:rRNA from 1 species
UGGGGAAUAUUGCACAAUGGGCGCAAGCCUGAUGCAGCGACGCCGCGUGGGGGAUGAAGGCCUUCGGGUUGUAAACUCCUUUCGCUACCGACGAAGCCCUUUGGGGUGACGGUAGGUGGAGAAGAAGCACCGGCUAACUACGUGCCAGCAGCCGCGGUAAUACGUAGGGUGCGAGCGUUGUCCGGAUUUACUGGGCGUAAAGAGCUCGUAGGUGGUUUGUCGCGUCGUCUGUGAAAUUCCGGGGCUUAACUCCGGGCGUGCAGGCGAUACGGGCAUAACUUGAGUGCUGUAGGGGUAACUGGAAUUCCUGGUGUAGCGGUGGAAUGCGCAGAUAUCAGGAGGAACACCGAUGGCGAAGGCAGGUUACUGGGCAGUUACUGACGCUGAGGAGCGAAAGCAUGGGUAGCGAACAGG